AUUGAACGCUGGCGGCAGGCCUAACCCAUGCAAGUCGAACGAGUGGCGGACGGGUGAGUAAUGUAUUGGAAUCUGCCCGAUGGAGGGGGAUAACUACUGGAAACGGUAGCUAAUACCGCAUACCAUCGGAUGUGCCCAGAUGGGAUUAGCUAGUUGGUGGGGUAAAGGCUCACCUAGCCGACGAUCCCUAUCUGGUCUGAGAGGAUGACCAGCCACACGGGAACUGAGACACGGUCCAGACUCCUACGGGAGGCAGCAGUGGGGAAUAUGGCACAAUGGGGGCAAGCCUGACGCAGCCAUGCCGCGUGGAUGAAGAAGGCCUUCGGGGUGUAAAGUACUUUCGGCAGGGAGGCGUUAACCGCAGAAGAAGCACCGGCGAACUCCGUGCCAGCAGCCGCGGUAAUUC
rnacentral:rRNA from 1 species